ACAUUGCUUCUUCCCCCUCUUCUGUGAUCAGAAGAGGGGGAUAUCCAUCUCUGCUUCCCUUCUGAAUCCCUCGUCCCAGUCCCUCCCAGCCCAACCAGUUCCUUCAGGCUCUCCAUGCCACCGGAGACAAGCUACAUCUUGGGAUUAAAGAGGCCAUAGAAAUGCAAAGCGUGGUUACACAGGUGGAAGGGGGAACCUCUCCAGGUGGCUUCACGGUGGAGGGAGCUGUGGUGUUCAGCCCCAGGGCUGUGCUUUGCCCUGAUUUUCUCACCGCCCCCACCGAGCGCAUCCGUGCCACCAAAUGCAUCCUCCACUGCAGAAUGAGGCCUUACUCCGGAGAAGGCUUCCACAUGCUGGCAGGCCAGGCUGAGCAAUGAAAAGAGCGUGGGAUUUAUCCUUGUUCUGCUAA